UGGCCUUUUUAUUUAGACUGCAUUAGAAACAGAAAAACUGACGGGUAGAAGUAAAAAUUGAAGGAAGAAAGAAGUAAACUGUGAAUAGUUUAUAGAAUUAGGCAUCAAUUUAGCAAUCUACUUUUGUAUUUUGGUAAGAUUGUACCUUCUAAAUCUCCUUUCUUUUGAUUUUUGCUAUGUAUAUACGGAAUUAGAGUUUGAGUCCUGCAUUCGAUCAGGUAAAUUGGGAAUUGUUUGAAGCUCAGUCCAACGUUAAAUUAAAGCUAGAAUGGAUCGAUUCGUACUCAGAUUUUUUAUUUUUUAUUUAUAUAAUUUUUUUAUUACCGGUUCAAUGACCGCUCAACCGAUUUUUGAAACGUAAAUAAAUGGUGGAGUUCGAUAUUCGGAUAAUUUAAGAAUAUGUUCAACGAGGUGGGGCCCAGCCAUGUUCAAUCACCAGGAUGGUCGGCCGCGUCAAGUUGGCAGUGUUAUCUUGUUGAUUUUUGUCUCUCUGCUUUUUUCGUUCUGAACGUUAUCUUUAAAAGAAUUAACGGUCGUGUGUAAGAGAUGCUUUAACGAGCAAAUCACAUUUUUCAUUCACUAGAAAUGAUGCAUCUUUGAGUGCAUGUUUGGCCAAGUUCAACUUUUUUUAAGAUGAUUAAACAUAUUUUUUAUUCGCAUAUUUUGUAAAAUUUAUACCUUGCUACUUAUUUUUUUAUGCAUUCUCUGAAUUCAAUAAUUUAUGAAGAUAAUCGAAGUAACAGAAUUCGACUGCUACUUUGGAGAUGUUUUUUCGACGUAGAUGAAAUCAGUCCAGUAUUGUGUGCCAAAUAUACCGUCACUAUGCUUUGUUUUGGCCUUUUUAUUUAGACUGCAUUAGAAACAGAAAAACUGACGGGUAGAAGUAAAAAUUGAAGGAAGAAAGAAGUAAACUGUGAAUAGUUUAUAGAAUUAGGCAUCAAUUUAGCAAUCUACUUUUGUAUUUUGGUAAGAUUGUACCUUCUAAAUCUCCUUUCUUUUGAUUUUUGCUAUGUAUAUACGGAAUUAGAGUUUGAGUCCUGCAUUCGAUCAGGUAAAUUGGGAAUUGUUUGAAGCUCAGUCCAACGUUAAAUUAAAGCUAGAAUGGAUCGAUUCGUCCUCAGAUUUUUUAUUUUUUAUUUAUAUAAUUUUUUUAUUACCGG
rnacentral:lncRNA from 1 species